UUAUACCGAUACAGGUCUGUAGUGUACCCAGCCUUAAGAGUUCAUCUGCUGCAGAAGCUCAUGCCCUACCUGAAGCUGUAGUUUCCAAGGCAACCAACUGAGAUGCUACCAACAGGCUAAUGCCAUCAGGUGAGGAAUACAGCAACAACAGGUGGAUACAGAUCCUGAUUUCAAUAAAGAAUGAAGGGAAAGCAGAGCAAAUUUGAUUUUUAGGCUGGGCUUACGCUCCAUUUUUGUACCAGUAUAACUACAUUGGUUAGGAGGGGUCUUUAACACUGUAGUUAUACCAGAACAAACCCUAAGGUGGACACAGUUAUACCAGUAUAGUUUAUCCCACUUAUGGGACUAAAGCUAUACUGCUAUCAACACCUUUAUGCCAGUAUAACUGUGUCCACACUUGGAGGUUGUGCCACUUUCAACUAUACUGAGCUAGAUAAAGCUGUACAAUUUUCUAGUGAAGGCAGGGCCUAAGGCCAGAAUCUGUUAGUUUUCCCAUGAGAAGGUUAUAGCUUUAAGGAAACACUCAGGCUUAAAUCUUUCAGCUGAACAUUGAAGUCACUUCCAAAAAAAAGUGUGUAAAGGUAUUUAGUUAAGUUAUCCACGUUGAUCGUGGCAGUGUGAUUGGCUAACAGUGGGAAGAAGUUACAUGAACUAAACAGAGUGCCUAAAAUGCCAACACAUGUAAGGAGCUGUCUGUAGAAGGGCAAUUUUUAGCUGGGAGGACUUAAUCCUGACCAGAAUAAAAUCUUAACUAAGGAGACAUUUCAAGAACAGCUUUGAGACUUAUCACUCAUCAUAUGGAACAUGCACAUGGUUACAUAAAGACACUGUCAGACUAUGGUAGGGAGUAUCCUCUGUCUAGUCACAGAAAUUAGAAUGGAAAAUAACUCUCAGCAUCAUUCAGGCCAUCCUUUCCAGACUAGUUCAAGUGAUGAGACUUCAGCCCCAGCCAGUUGGAGACUGUUCCAAUUAAUGAGCUCUACUGUUGAAACAUAUCAAGGGAAAAAUUGCUAUGUGCUUUUAUGUCAUGUCAUCAUACUAGUCCUAGUUUGAAAGAUCACCAGUGCACCUAUCUGUCCACACAAAUUGUACUGGAAAAUUUGUCCUCCCGCCCCAUCCAUCAAAACAUUUGGAAAUUCAUUUUUUAAAUCAGGUCAUAUACCACCACCUACCUCUUGGAGGCAAGCAUCAUUGUACCCCUUUUACAGAUGAGGAAACCGAGGCACAAAAUGACUUGCCAAAGUUCACUCCGCAUACCUGUGGCAAAGCCAGGAUUAGCAUCUAGAUUGCCUGAGGCCCAGUACAGUGUCCUAUCCACUAGGCAACACUGUCUCAGGUCAUUAAUAAAAAUCUUAAAUAGCAGGGCCAAGAACCAAGCCCUUCUGGACCCAACUGGAAACACACCCUUUUGAUGAUGAUGAUUUCCUGUUAACAGUUACGUUGUGAGACCUAUCAGUUAGCCAGCUUUUAAUCCAGGUGAUGUGUGCUGUAAUAUAAAACUAUCAUUCUAGUUUGUUUUAACCAAAAUCUCAUGCAGGAGGAGGCACACGUCAGAGCCCUAGGGGGGCUCACAUCAGGGUCCUCUUGGGGCUCUGGGUGAUCGCUACUUCCCAUCACUCAACACAGAUGUAAUGUGGCUGAGUAGUGUCCGCAAAAGAGAAACUAACACAACUCAUUAUUCCUCAAGAGGAGGGAAAACAUUGCAAACAAAACAGGAAGAUACAACAAAAGAACACCAACGUUGGCAGGAAGAAUCAAGAGCAUGUGAUCCCUGCAACUACUUUUAACUUUUUUCUUCAAGUCACCUAAGUUUCACCUUAACAGUGCCCUUUAAAUGACAUGAAUUCUGUGCUCAGCCAGAGACCAAAUCCCCCCCGACUCCCAGGAAGCCAGCUCUCCAAAGUCUCUUCUACUUCGUUAUCAUGAUCAAGGACUGUUCUUUAGGAAGAAACACAUUUUGACAGUCACCAAGAGCAGACACUAGGUGGCACAAAUGCAUCAGCAAAUCUGUUCCUAGCCCAAGAAAUGCAGAUCUCAGGACUACGGGGAGUAGAUAGGCUGGGAAAGAAGACAAGCACGCUAGUGCAGGGGUUCUCAAACUGGGGGUCGGGACCACUCAGGAUCACAAAGUCAUUACAGGGGGGGGUCGCACGCUGUCAACCUCCACCCCAAACCCUGCUUGCCUCCAGCAUUUAUAAUGCUGUUAAAUAUGUUAAAGUGUGUUUAAUUUAUUGUGGGGGUUGCACUCAGAGGCUUGCAAUGUGAAAGGGGUCACCGGUAAAAAAGUUUGAGACCCACUGCACUAGUGGGUAUUCUCCCCACUGAGCGUGCAAGACAGUGGAUUGGAUCAGACUGAAAAAAACUGCCCUACCUAUCACCAGGAAGAACAAUGGUGACUACUAAUUCACAGUGUAAUAAACCCUCCCCCAGCCCUUCUUCCUUCGCACUAGAGAGAUGCCAAAAGCCCAGACGCUUACACCUAGAUUUGUUCCUCUUUGUUGCUUAUUGAAAUAAAGGUCACCCCAAAGU